ensembl:lncRNA
AGUUUUUGGAUCUUUUAUUUUUAGCAACAGAACCAAUUCACAACAUUGUGAAACUAAGUCACUACGAGGAAAAGUCCUCAUAGUUCUGCUUCCUUUUAGUACCGAGUAGUUACACAGUACAAUUUACUAUGUAUGAUGAAAGUAUUCAAAGUAAUACUUGUUCUAGAGUCAAAUGCAGCAGUGUUUGGGAAGCCUGACGCAACACGGCAGCAAGAACCGGAUGAGGGACCAAGUCCACCGAGUGCUUUGCUCGGUCCACCAGAAGGACAACGAGGGACCGAAGGUAAUUCAGCGCAGCAGCUUUCGUUAUAUCGCUCCAGUAGUUAUUUUCCCCCUAAAUCCAGAUAAGAAACUGACAAAUGUGAGGAACCCAACAAGCAGAACAGCUGAUUGUCGGCUGUAGGGAGGCGGUGGAUGUGGUCAUGUGACCUCCUUUUGGGAACAUUCGCCCUGUUGCUGCUGUACAAACACACUUGCCAUCUUGAUUUUGGGUUGUCACCAACUUCAUUUUUCACCAAACCACACGGAGAUUUACCACAGCCGCCGUGGUAGACCUGUCAAUCACGAGGUAGCUCCGCCCUAAAGCUAAAUAUGUGAUAUGUGACCACGAAGGAGGUCGACGUCUGGAAAGAACUUUGUUCUGGAACCAGCGCAGCGUGGCAGCACGGGGAGUUAGCAGGCUAGCUUAGCAGGCUAGCUUAGCAGGCUAGCCGGCGGCUUCAGUGUGGUGAGAUCACUGGGAACCGCUGCUAUGAUUCAUGACUCGCGGGUUCAGACUCACAACGUAUAAGAAAGAAUUGACCGGACGUUUUGUGCGUUAAGAGUUAAAGAUGAAACUCAAAGGAAACUCAUUUGCAUGGAAAGACGGAUUAAAAUGUAUGUUUUGAUGAUAAAGUGGUUAAAUAAAUAAAAAUCAUCUAUUAUUUAAUUUGAGUUUCACUGCAACCAAAAGCUGAAUGUAAGAAUAAAGCGGAGAGAAACUGUGAUAAACUGGUUCAUUUGUAAAUCCACUGAAAAUGUGAUUUAAAUAGAUUGAGACAGUUUAUGUGAAGUGACACAAACUGUAGCUCAAAGGUGAAGAAAGGAAAGCAGACGGAGGAAUGAAGCAUUUUAUCUCACUGAACCGAAGCGUCUGCAGGAGCCGUGAAGGAUGAAGACGAUCAAUAAUCUGCUCAGCUGAGACGCUGAUGUAAUAAAGGAUUCAGAAACGGGAGAAUCAGGAUCACCAGGAGGAAACGAGGUAGACGGAGAAACCGGAAAUAUUCUGCUGCUGAGGGGAAAACAUGUGAAGAUAAUGAAACAUUUAGAUGGGUGAACAAAUACAUGGAUGAUGUGUGUGUGUGUGUGUGUGUGUGUGUGUGUGUGUUGAUUACACUCACCAUAACUCACCGGGGAACAAGCAGAAACUCCUCUCGUACAAGCUGAAGUGUAAUUAAACUCGGGUACAAAGUAUUUUUCUAUAUGUGGUUGUUCCUGUGGGAGGAACUCAGUGCAAUAAGAUACUGAGAAUUAUCAGCAAACAAUCAAAACUCUCAACACCAGAAGAAACAUUCUCGUAUUUAUUAUUUUUCAUUUGGCUUCUUGUUUUUUGAUCUUUGAAGGAAAAACUGUUAAUUUAAGUAAUUGGAUUUCUAAUAUAAGAGUUCAUGGUUUGUUUAUGAUGAUACAGUUAAUUCUAAUGGAAAGUUUCCACUUUGAAUAAUCAUCACAUCACAUGUCAUUUAUCUGACGCUUUUAUCCACAGCGACUUACAAUCAGAACAUUUCAACCAUCAGGACACAAAGUCAGAAGAACAAGAAACAAGAAAGUGUGAUUUCAUCAAAUAAGCCGUUUUACAACUUGCUGUAGAUAAGAACCAUUAUAAGUCCAAUGUAAGUGCUGCAGGUAGUUAGUGUGUUAGUGGAGGUAGAGUCUGAAGAGGUGUGUCUUUAGUCUGAAGAUGUGAAGGCUCUCUGUGGUCCUGAUGUCUUCACAGACCUCCUUCCACCAUUUAGGAGCAGGACAGCAAAGAGUGGAGAUCUAGUCGAGUGUUUUGCUCUCAGUGAGGAGGAACAAGCAGUUUAUCACAUGCAGAGCGGAGAGGUCAGAGGUCGGGAUGUCGGGUUGGACCAGGUCCUGGAUGUAAGCUGGACCCCAUCCAUUCACAGCCUGGUACCUGAGCACCAUGUUUAGAACUGGAUGAGCCACCGGUACCAGUGAAGAGAGCGGAGGAGUGGAGGAGUACUCACACAUACUCACAGAUACUCACACAUACUCACAGAUACUCACAGAUACUCACAGAAUCAUUCUCAAAAGGAGACGAUGAGACGGUCCGUCCUCCUGCAGCUCUUCCUUGUAGAAGAGUCGUGUCCUCUGAGGACACAAAGGACUGAUGGAAUCUUCAUCCUGACGUCCGGCCUCGUUAACACCAAAUAAUGGAUUUACUGAAGGUAUUUUGCACCAUUUGAAUCACAGAAACUUUUCUCGACCUCAAUAGCAACGUAACAUUCAGCUUUUAGACGUUAGCUUAUUAUUACAAAACAUGAUUACGGUUCAGAAUAAUUCACUAAAUCCUUCCACCCGUCUUUGGGUUGCUUCUUUCGUCUUCACAUCAAGUCCAAGACAGAAACAACUGUCCAUAAAUGUAUUUUAAAUCUCAACUUGUUUUUCCUCUUUGUUUCUGAGAUGCGCUUUUAGAGUUGGACAGAUGUCCCACGAGUGUCCUCGCGUCCUUCACGGGACGGAGGAGGACAGGUUUGUGUCAGUGAGUCCACACUUGUCCUCCAGACGCAGACUUUCACUCCAGGACCCACUUGGAUAGAAAAUACGGCUAAAAAUCUUGAAUGUUUUUGCAGCGUUUGCCUCCUCUUCAUCCUCUUCAUCUGCGCCCCAUCAGCUCCUCCUCCCGCGGGUGGUGUAGUGACUGACAGGGUGGAGCUCGGGCCGGCUGACAGGCGUUUGAUUCUGUGUCAGCGCUUCUUCUCCUUCUGUCCUCCGGAGGCUGAAGGUGGAGUUUAGAAGCAGAGAAGCUUUGUGACAUCGAAUGCAGAAGAACCACCACGUCUCUUAAAGUGUCUUAACUCAAGUGAGGCUUUAAAAAUCAACGAGCUACUUAUUCACACGGCUGACGUCACGGUGCUUUCUGUCCCAAAGCUUUUAAACUCCAGAAAGAACCAAUGUCGUUCUAAGUGAACAUUUAGAAUAUUGAGUGUUUAGACUCCACUGACAAACAGGGUGAGAACGUCCUGCUAGACGGGGACAUUGUUGACACUGAAACACGUCAAACGAUGGAGAGUUGAGAGCACGAGGACAACAAGAAGACGUGUUCCACCUCCAACGUGAUCAUUAAAGUGACAUUAAGUGUCUAAAACAGACUUUCUAAAGUGAUUACGCGUUCAUUUCAGGUUUAGUCUUAAUUGCAAUUACUGAAUUCUUGAUUUAUUUGAAGCAAAUAUAUAUACAUAUAUAUAUAUAUGUGUAUAUAUAUAUAUAUUUAUAAAAAUAUAUACAUAUAUAUAUAUACAUUUGAAUACAUAAAGAAAAGCUACAGAAGUAUUUAAAAUAAUAAUAAUGUCUGAGCACAAAGCGAGAACAUCAGGUGAUGUUAAAACGUUCAUCUUUACAAUCUAAAGGACACAUUUUAGAAAGCUUCUUAUAUUUGACACGAAGGAGCUUUACAGUAUUAAAAAGUUGGGUUUGAGUAUUUAACAACGUGUUUAUGGUUGAACAAACUCUGGUUCCCUUAUGGACUUUAUUUGAAUUAGUCGUGUUAUUAUGAAACCGGCUGAAGAUCCAACGUCCUCGUUUCAGACUCCAGAAGCAGAACGCAGCUCGUCCUCCAUCUACCAGCAGCUCACCGUGUGUGUGUGUGUGUGUGUGUGUGUGUGUGUGUGUGUGUGUGUGUGCGUGUGCGUGUGUGUGUGUGUGUGUGUGUGGCGAGUGUUGUUACCAUGGUGACCAGCUGACCCUAAUCGAAGUGGGAGGCGCGAGGUUCUCAUUCCACUAACCUGCUACCUGCAACCAGCAAUGGGAUAUAUAUUAUAUAUAAAUAAUAUAUAAUAUAUAUAUACUAUAAUAUAGAUAUUAUUUAUUAUAUAU